CACACUUGCUCUGUCACUCCAAGCCUCGCGUUCCCAGUCACGACACACGACGGUGAAACCAAUUAUCUCCGAUCUCUAAGACCGAAAACCAAGAGCAAUCCCGUUUGCAAAUGGCGACCCCCGCGAUCGCGCUGCUUGAUCAGAGCCUGCCGUUCGGCGGCGGCGGCUCGGACCGGCUCAGCAAGGAGAUCUUCUCCAUCCUCGAGUCCAACUUCCUGUUCGGCGCGCAGGCGCUGGAGCCGGCCGGGGCGUGCUCGGCGGGCCGCGUGCGCGUGCUCUCCAUCGACGGGGGCGCGGACGGCGGCGCGCUCGCCGCGGCCGCGCUGGUCAGGCUCGAGCGCCGGCUGCAGGAGCUGUCGGGCAGCCCCGAGGCCCGCGUCGCGGACUACUUCGACGUGGCGGCCGGGUCCGGCGCCGGCGGGUUCCUCGCGGCCGCGCUGUUCGCGCGCCGGAUGCCGGCGGAGGCCGCGCGCGACGUCGUGGCCAAGAACCGCAAGGUGUUCUCUGGGCGCCAUGGGCGUGGUGGGCUGUUCAACAGGCCCGAGGCGGUGUUUAAGAAGGUGUUCGGGGACCUCACCGUGCGCGACGCGGCCAAGCCGCUGCUGAUCCCCUGCUACGACAUGGCCACGGCCGCGCCGUUCGUCUUCUCCCGCGCCGACGCCGUCGAGGCCGAGGCGUUCGACUUCCCGCUCUGGCAGGUCUGCGCGGCCGCGUGCGGGGUGGGGCCGGCUGAGGUGGCGUCCCUCGACGGGCGCACCAGGCUGCGCGCCGCCGCGGCGGCAGGCGGGACCGGCGCCGGCGUGGCCAACCCGACCGCCGUGGCCGUCACCCACGUGCUCCACAACAAGCGCGAGUUCCCCUUCGCCGCCGGCGCCGGCGACCUCGUCGUGCUGUCCCUCGGCGGGAACGCCGCCGCCGGCUCGGGCGCCCGCGCGUCGUCCUCCAGCCUCCUGCGCAUCGCCGGCGCGUGCCAGGCCGACAUGGUGGACCAAGCCGUAUCAAUGGCGUUCGGAGAGAACAGAGCAACCAACUACAUCCGCAUCCAGGGCAACGGCAUUACCGCCGGAGCGACGGCGGAGGCGGCCAUGGCGGAGCGUGGGGUGGAGUCGGUCCUGUUCCGGGGCAAGAAGCUGAUGCCGCAGACCAACGGCGAGCGGCUGGACGGCGUGGCGGAGCAGCUGGUGCGGGAGCAGCACCGGAGGAUGGACAGCAAGACGCCGGUGGUGCUCAUCAAGCCGUCGGCGACGCCCAGGACGUCCUCCUCGUCGGCGUCCACGCUCAUCACCGUGUCCACCAACUCCUCCUCGGAGUCGCCCUGAGCCGACGCCGACGCCGACACCGACACCGUCCGUCCGUCCGUCGACCCACCGGCGGCGCUGAUCUUCUAAUUAACUAGCUUUGGGUUCCCGAUUUAUUUAUUUGUUCCGGGGCAUCUGUUGCUUGGCUUUUAGUUAGCGCGGCGCCGGCACUAGUGGUAGGGGGUUUUGGUUGCCUGCCGGCGCCGCCGCCCGCCCAUGGCGCUCGCUCCCGGCCGGCCCCCGCGCGCGCGGCCGCGGAAGAAAGAGGAGAGUGGUCGGAGUGGAAUGUGAAAGAUUUCUCUAGCUAGGAUCGAAGCGGUGAGAGUGACGAGUGCGUGUGCUGUGCUGUGCUGCAACUACGAUGUAAUACUGCGUAGCUUGUGCGGUGCCUGCAAUGAAAUACUACUAAAAUCGGUGUGGCUUUGCUGGUAAGC
rnacentral:rRNA from 1 species